rnacentral:rRNA from 1 species
GACGAACGCUGGCGGCGUGCUUACACAUUCCAAGUGGAAGGUGAAGGCCAGGCUUUUGUGGGGUGGUGGAGUGGCGAAGGGGUGGGUACACCGUGAGUACCCUGCCCCUUCCUUUGGGUUACCGCCGGGAAAGGGUGGUUAAUCCUGGAUAUUACCUGGUUUUGCAUGGGGGGUGGGGGAAAGGGUUUUUCUGGGGGGGGAUGGGCUCGGGGCCUAUCAGCUUGUUGGUGGGGUGAUGGCCUACCAAGGCUUUGACGGGUAGCCGGCCUGAGAGGGUGACCGGUCACAUUGGGACUGAGAUACGGCCCAGACUCCUACGGGAGGCAGCAGUGGGGAAUAUUGCACAAUGGGCGCAAGCCUGAUGCAGCGACGCCGCGUGAGGGAUGGAGGCCUUCGGGUUGUGAACCUCUUUCGCUCAUGGUCAAGCCGCAACAAUGGUUGUGGUGAGGGUAGUGGGUAAAGAAGCGCCGGCUAACUACGUG